ACACACUCCUUUCCCAGCCCAGGGGCACGCGAACAAAAUGAGGCUCAAGCUGACCAGGCCGAGCCGGAGGAACGCUGGGGCUUGGCAGCAGAAGGGAUGGGACCAGAGAGAAGGGUGUGGAGGAGACCCCAGUGAGGGCCAGGACAUUUCAGGUAAAGAGAGGUAAGAAGAGGCCCAGAAGUCAAGGGCCAGACUGUGAAGGUGAUUAGAGGUCAAAAGAGGUCAUAUCUCCGUACCUCACUUCCUGACACAAACAAGUUUUCACUGUUGUCAGCAACAAAGCCCUAAUAUAGCUGCGGAAGAGAAAAACUGCAUUGCAUUUUGCCUCCUGCAAGCAUCAUCAACAGUUACUGGAGGAACGUAAUUCCAGAAAGCUUGAAAGCCGUGGUGAUGGUAAUUAUGUAUCAAAUGCCUGGUUCUAUUUCUGUUAUUAUUGUUUUGUCAUUUCUGUUUUCCCAGCGAUCUGACUGAACUCGCAGAGGGACAAAUCCAGUUUUUCUUUUUGACUUUUGUCAAACUAAAUCAGGCCUGAUAGAAAACUCAUUGCUCUCCGGGGAAACAAAGUAGGAGCCACGAAAUGUCAUUUUAACAGAGCGUGGGUUUGGUGACUGUAGGAAAGGAUUUGAGGACGCUCCUUCUGUUCGGCUUCCUAUGUCAUGAGCACAGGCUCCACGCACGCACAGACACCACGGCUCCCGGAUGCUGUGGCUCCCCGAUCGGGGCUCCUGCAGCGCCAGAAGCCCCUCCGGGAUGCUUCGAGGGGCUCCCGGUGGGUGGAGGUACGGACGCCGCUGCGGCCGCCGCCGCCAGUCCUGCUGCUGUUGUUGCUGCUGCAGUCACGUGGGAGCCCCUUUAAGUUUCCAUAGAGAGGCCUCUCUGGUGUCACAUGAUGGACAUGAUAUAAUGAAACAACAUUGUGGAGAGGAAAGCAUUAGGGGAGCCCACGGCUACAAAAACAAGUGAGUGAGAAGAGGUGGGAGGAAGAGAAACUACGCCACCUCCCCUGCAGCCGAGUGCACGCAGCAGCCUGGCGUGACAAGUGGGCGACGCCGGGGGGCAGGGAGCCGGGGUCCUUGGCCCUGGCCGGGGACCCCACCGCCCACCGCGCGGAGGACAACUUUUAGCCGGCAGCCCAGACCAGCGCGGCACCUGUCUCCGGAGUCUCCACCGCUCCUCCCGAUUCAUCCCAGGGAAAUUCUCAAGAAUACGCUCUACAAAUCUACGUGCGCAUCAUUUUCACCUCGCGUCGCGCCCGGGAGGAAGGAACGAGGCAAGGAGCUAAAGCAGCGUGCGUUCAGCCCUGGGGCAUUUUAUUAAUGCUUUUACGAGUUAGAAGAGUUGGGAUAAUUUGCCAUCUGGAGUUUCUCUGCCUUGCUGAUCUGAGCUCAGACCUGCCAAUUUACCAGAGAUAAUUGAUAACACCCUGUAACAGCUGACUUUCUGUUCACGUGUCUACAUUUGAAGUUACUG
rnacentral:lncRNA from 10 species